CCUAUUUCCUAUAAUAUAACAAAACUUAUUAAUUGAUGUUUUAAUUUUAAAAAAAAUUAUAAAAAUGUUUUGGCCAAUAAACCUAAAAAAUCUAAACGUUUUCAUUUUUCUUACAUUUAUAUCCUAAAAUUUCAAUUUUAAACGAUUAAAUCCAACUUUUUACAUUUGACACAAUUUUAACCAAACUAUCAAAUCAAUUUUGACCAAGUGCCACAUCACCCAGCUUGCAUUCCACUUGGAGUUUUAUAUUAUUUUUUUAAUUAUUCAUUUUUUCAUCUAAGCUAACUCUAACAAAGGUUAAACCCUCAGCUAAUAAUAUUAACCCAUUAACCCGAAUAAAAAAACCCUAAAAUUAAAAUCUGUCACUAUUAAAAUCGGUCUCCUCUUUGGCAAUUUUUUGAGAGAUUAUCCUUAAACCCAUACUAAAAUACUCUCGAUUAACAGUAGAGGUGGUCCAGAGUGUUAAAGACAAAGCGUUGGCGAGAAAACAUUCUUUAUUGCUUUGCUAUAGAGUUGAAUACUGGUAGAGGUAUACAACAUUGGUUUAGCCAAUGACAGGGGAAGAAGAAGACAAGCAAAAAAAGGACAAUGUGGGAGGAAUAUUUGAGCCAAAAGCAAACAAGGGGAGAAUUCUGUCAAUGUGGUAUAUGGCCCUUUAUCUGUUGCUGCAGCAAUCAGAGGUGUUGACAUAAGAGUUAAUACUCUUUCAUCACAACCCAUUUCUUCACAAGCACUAAUUUCUGAGACACAAUCAUCACAGCCACCAGUUCCAGAAGUUCUAAACCAACUACAAGCAACAGCUCAACCUUCAAUAAAAAGAAGCAAAUUACCAGUUAGGGGAAGCAAAACCCAAAGACAUAGUUGAAAGAUAAGAUUUUAGCCACUGUUUUGUUGUUUUGGUAUCUUGUAAUGACACAAUUAAAUGAAGAUAGUUGGCUUUUAGUUCAUUUUUUGUUAGCCGUUAAUUA